rnacentral:rRNA from 1 species
UACGAAGGGUGCAAACGUUGCUCGGAAUUAUUGGGCGUAAAGCGCACGUAGGCGGCUUAGCAAGUUGGAUGUGAAAUCCCUCGGCUCAACCAAGGAAGUGCAUCCAAAAACUGCUGAGCUUGAGUACUUAAGAGGAUCGCGGGAAUUCCCGGUGUAGAGGUGAAAUUCGUAGAUAUCGGGAGGAACACCAGUGGCGAAGGCGGCGAUCUGGGAAGAUACUGACGCUGAGGUGCGAAAGCGUGGGGAGCAAACAGG